rnacentral:rRNA from 1 species
UGAGGAAUAUUGGGCAAUGCCCGCAAGGGUGACCCAGCAACGCCGCGUGGAGGAUGAAUGUCGUAAGAUUGUAAACUCCUGUUAGAGGGGAAGAAUAGUACCGGUUGGACCGGUAUAUGACUGUACCCUCAGAGAAAGCCCCGGCUAACUUCGUGCCAGCAGCCGCGGUAAUACGAAGGGUGCAAGCGUUACUCGGAAUCACUGGGCGUAAAGCGUGCGUAGGUGGUUGUUUAAGUCUGAUGUGAAAGCCCUGGGCUCAACCUGGGAAUGGCAUUGGNAACUGGGCAGCUAGAGUGCGGUAGAGGGUAGUGGAAUUCCCGGUGUAGCAGUGAAAUGCGUAGAGAUCGGGAGGAACAUCUGUGGCGAAGGCGACUGCCUGGACCAGCACUGACACUGAGGCACGAAAGCGUGGGGAGCAAACA